AUGUUGGAUUCAUAACUGUUUGUGCCUUCGUUACUGCUUUUAUUUGCUUUAGUGUUAAUAUUUUACUGGUCAACUGAGGAAGUUGCCUGUGGUUCCUGUUUCCCUUUUCUUUUGAAGGAUGACAGAAGCUGGUUUGAUCCUCUUUAUUAUUUUAUAUGUGACACAGAGUCCCUAACAGAUGCCAAUGGUUUGAGCUUAGGAUUUGAACUUGGCAGUUCUGAGUUAAAAUCUUUUUUAGGGUUGGAGUGUGAGGGUUUAUGGAUGUAGGAAGGCUACACUCUAUCGCACAUCUGGUAACCAAGAAUGAUAAAUAGGGAAUCUGUAUUGGAAUUGGAAUGGGAAGGAUGGGUUUAAUGUGCACGGCAUGAAGAACUAGGAAGGAGAUUAGAGCUAUGCAAUAUCCAUAAUAAAUUUAACUGUAUGAUGGUGGUAGCGGCUUAGGGAUAGUCACCUUGGGUUUUGGGUGGGGGGGGGGGAUGAAUGUUAUAAAUGCAGUGUAAUUUUAUGGAUGUGUUAUUGGCUUUAGUUUUAUAACCUGCAUCCUGUCAGUGGCUAUAAAAUAUGGAAGGAUCUCUUUUCAUUUCUUCUCUAGUUCUCAUAGCCAUUGCUUUCCUAGCACCAUGGAUGGAAAUGAAUGAACUUCUUUUCUUUUCUAUU